rnacentral:tRNA from 45 species
GGGCCUGUAGCUCAAUGGUUAGAGCCGGCGGCUCAUAACCGCUUGGUUGGGAGUUCGAGUCUCUCCAGGCCCACCA